UAUUCUCUCUUUUACUUCUUUCUGAUAGCUUUUCCCAACUCUCCCUCCAAACUGUGAUGGAGACCAUUUCUCUGGACUUUCUAAAUUAUUGUGAUGAUGGUAUUUACUCCCAUAUGAUAAGUCCCCAUUAAUUCAUGGAACAGAUGAGAAAUAUACUUGUUGGUUGUCCCAAAAUUGCAAUGGCUUAAAUCAGAUAAAAUCUUUCCUUUCACGUAAUAAGAAAUGUAGAGUUAUGCUCUCCAGAAUUGAUGUGAUAGCUUUAAUGUCAAUAAGGACCCAGGUUCUUUAGAACUUUUUGUUUCAGUAUCCUUAGUAUUGCCUCAUGAUUCCAAGAUGGAAGCUGGAAUGCAAGCCAUUCUAUCAGUAAAGGGGGCAGGAACUAAAAGGAAUGUCUCUAAGAUGAGUCAGCCCCCUUUAUGAAAUUUUCCUCUAAGUUCUACCAAAGAUACCUCCUUGCCUAUCCUUAGCUGGUAAAUAUAGUUCCUUAGCAUCCUAAAACCACUAAUGCCCUUGGUAAGGUAGAAGGAGAGAGGAGCUGUUUGGUAGGCAUUCGACAUCUCUGCCAUCUGAGCUACUCAAGAUGUGGUAGGCAGCCCAUGUCAGUCUGUGAGCAGAUAAGUACAGCAGUGUAAGAGUUUACAAACUUUCCUAGCAACUUGACCUUGCCGUGACGGUGGUAUCUAUCCACAAUGGAUGGACAGUAAAACAAUAACAGCUCAUUCUUUUCCGCAGAGUCUGAGAAGCCCUAUGUGCCACAAGUCCUCUGUCUGCCCCCGGCCACUGCCAGCAUCACGAGGCCAGCAAACAGACUCUGGAAAAAGAAGAACUCUCCUGUGGCUGCUGUCCAUACCACCUUGUGGUUGCAGAAGCAAAGCAGGGCUAGACCUGAUCUCUGGGUGCUCCAGAGGCCACCCCAGGGGACCGGGGUGCUUUGAAAUGGUGGGGCCUGUGACUCAUGUCCUGGCAUCCCCUCUUCUGAAACACCUGCCACCAUGAGAAGAUGAUGGGGCUGCAGGUCUCCUGGGGAAGGUAAAAAGCUGGGUCACGAAGUCUGUGUUUCUACCUGUAAUAUCCAUUUUCUUCCACCAAGAAGAAAAAUAAAAUAACCCAAGAACUACCA
ensembl:lncRNA